rnacentral:rRNA from 1 species
GAUGAACGAUAGCGGCAGGCCUAAUACAUGCAAGUAGAACGGUGUAGCAAUACACAGUGGCGCACGGGUGCGUAACAAGUAUGCAACCUACCUAUUAUUGGGGGAUAGCCUUUGGAAACGGAGAUUAAUACCGCAUAAUACGAUUGACUGGCAUCAGUUGAUUGUUAAAGCUUUUGCGAUAUUAGAUGGGCAUGCGUCCAAUUAGUUAGUUGGUGAGGUAAUGGCUCACCAAGAUGAUGAUUGGUAGGGGAUCUGAUAGGAUAAUCCCCCACACUGGCUCUGAACUACGUGCCAUACUCCUACGGAAGGCAGCAGUAGGGAAUAUUGGGCAAGGGGCGGAAGCAUGACCCAGCCAUGCCGCGUGCAGGAUGAAGGCGUUAUGCGUUGUAAACUGCUUUUUUAUAGGAAGAAGGAGGCCUUUCGAGGCUUUGUGACGGUACUAUAAGAAUAAGCACCGGCUAACUCCGUGCCAUCAGCCGCCGCAGUAA